UGCCUUUCUUGGUAUGUUUAGUUUGUUUGAGUGGGCCAUGUCCUGAUAAGCCCACUCUUGGAUCGGCCCAUUAGGGCUAUGGCCCAAAUGUCUCACUAUAUAAAGAAGACUCCCUUCUCCAAGAAGGGACAGAUUAUAUUUUCCCAUAAAAAGGUUACUCCUUCCUUCCCUAUUCUCACAUUACUCCUGCUCUCUCUCUCUCUCUCUAAACUACACUCUUUACUUGCACUUAUAACUAUCUUCUCCAUACAAGAUACUGACUUGAGCGUCGAAGUGCCCACGGGGUGAACCCCCUCGGGCCCUCUAACUAGAUCUACCUGUGACUGUAGCCCAAGACCCGAUGCCCCACAAGAGGAACCGUCACCAUGACGACAAGAUGACGAACCUAAAGGAGCUCACUGAAUCUAAGGUUAGUACCGCCAAACCCUCUGAACGACUUCAGGGAUUUAGGAAUUCGACAUUGGCGCCAUCCGUGGGUCCGAGUAGAAACGUGUCUCGGUCUCAUCAUACAAACGACUGGAUCUACCCUCCCUGCGACGGUCAGAUCUUCAUCUCGACUUCGGUCACCAGGAAAGGAUACCGGAACGUCGAGUGGACAAGCCAGUGGUGAUUUGCGGUUGAAGGGCGUACACUAAGGUGACGAUGGGAUAUUACGGAUGACGGUCAAGCUAGAUGUUGAAGAACCGAACACUCACUUUUGAGCUUCCGCGUUAUGUUAACUUUGAUAAACAAUGUUUUGUAUUGUAAACUCUCGUUUAACAUCUUAUGAAUGUUUGAUCUUAGUUGUUAGUUGACUAAGGGUUAACUAGUUUUAAACUUUGUCUAUGGAAAUUAUGUUUUAAUCAGACACCUUUUUGUUUAAA